UACGUAGGGGGCAAGCGUUGUCCGGAAUUACUGGGCGUAAAGCGCGUGUAGGUGGCAAGGCAAGUCGGGUGUGAAAGCCCUGGGCUCAACCCAGGAAGUGCACUCGAUACUGCCUCGCUAGAGUCCCGGAGAGGUUGGUGGAACUCUCGGUGUAGAGGUGAAAUUCGUAGAUAUCGAGAAGAACACCGGUGGCGAAGGCGGCCAACUGGACGGUGACUGACACUGAGACGCGAAAGCGUGGGGAGCAAACAGG
rnacentral:rRNA from 1 species